ensembl:lncRNA
GCGAACUCCUUUACUGGCAUUGACGUAACAGUUGCUGAAGGAGUUGACAGAGCAGAAACAGACCCAGGCUAGCUUCCUCCCCCCUCAAGCUGAAGGAGCAUAAACCGACCCAGGCUAGCUUCCUCCCCUCCUCAAGCUGAAGGAGUUGAAAGAGCAGAAACAGACCCAGGCUAGCUUCCUCCCCCUCAAACUGAAGGAGCAGAAACAGACCCAGGCUAGCUUCCUCCCUCCUCAAGCUGAAGGAGUUGAGAGAGCAGAAACAGACCCAGGCUAGCUUCCUCCCUCCUCAAGCUAAAGGAGUUGAGAGAGCAGAAACAGACCCAGGCUAGCUUCCUCCCUCCUCAAGCUGAAGGAGUUGAGAGAGCAGAAACAGACCCAGGCUAGCUUCCUCCCCCCUCAAGCUGAAGGAGCAGAAACAGACCCAGGCUAGCUUCCUCCCUCAAGCUGAAGGAGCAGAAACAGACCCAGGCUAGCUUCUUCCUCCCUCAAGCUGAAGGAGCAGAAACAGACCCAGGCUAUCUUCCUCCCUCAAGCUGAAGGAGCAGAAACAGGCCCAGGCUAUCUUCCUCCCUCAAGCUGAAGGAGCAGAAACAGACCCAGGCUAGCUUCCUCCCUCAAGCUGAAGGAGCAGAAACAGACCCAGGCUAGCUUCCUCCCUCAAGCUGAAGGAGCAGAAACAGACCCAGGCUAUCUUCCUCCCUCAAGCUGAAGGAGCAGAAACAGACCCAGGCUAUCUUCCUCCCUCAAGCUGAAGGAGCAGAAACAGACCCAGGCUAUCUUCCUCCCUCAAGCAUGGUGCUUCCUGGAGCUCAGUUCCUU